UGUUAAGUUGUUUUAUCAAAUGUUUUUUCUGCAUCUAUUCAUAUGUUUGCGUAUCUGUUAAUGUGGCGAAUAUUACUAACUGAUUUAGUCACGAGGUAUUUUCUUAUGUCUAUACUACUGGAUUCCAUUUGCUAACAUUUUGUUUAGGAAUUUUAGAUAAAUGUUUUCUGUAACAUCAGCCUAUAAUGGGAGUAAAUUAGUUUCACAGUAUCAAAUUUUAAAAUGCAAUGUCUUUGACCCAGAAGUUUCACUGCUAUGAAUGCAUCCUAUGGAUGCACUCCAUAGGAUAUGCAAAAGUAUAUGUACAGGCAUAUUUAUUGUUAUAAUAGCAAGAAACUAAAGACAAAUGCCCUUUAGUUGGAGACUUGGUUUUUUUAAAAAGUACAGUAUUUUGUUGCCAUUACAAAGAAUGAGGUAGAUCUGUUUGUGCUGAUGUGUAAAGUUCUCUGAAAUCUAUAAUUAGGGUAAAGCAGGUGGCAAGAGCAAGAGUAUAUAUUUAUCUCUAUCCCGUUUGUGAAUUUUUUAAGUGAUAGCGCUAUGGAUGUGCAUAUCCUAUUUCUGGAAGCGCACUCAAAGCCUUGUAACACCAGUUCCCUCUGGAGAGCAGGGAUGGCAGGAAGCUGUAGGACUAUGUCUCUUUCCACACCUUUUUAUAAUUCAUGAGCAUGAGCAUGUCUUGGUCCCUGUACACCUGCCCCUGGGCUGGAGGAGGCCCUGCUGGCUGCCAUGUCUCACUUUCACCUAACUGCACAGUCUCAGCUGCUUCCCUCCAGCCCUUGAGGACUGUCACCCAUCCUAGAAAGGAGGCCUUGCAUUAGGCCCAGGUUUGGCCAGAAGAAUAGAGCAGUUGGAAAUGUUAAGUUGACAUAAAUAGGAAGCUCUGUAACCUCGUGCAAGUGUUGUCUUGGAAACCAGAGCCUGGGCGGUCUCCAUGGAAACCGUGCUCAGCCUUCUGCCUGAAGGAGUUACCACCCACUGGUGCUGGAGUCUUACUUAUCAGGGACCUCAGAGCUCCGAUAACUGCUUCGGGAAUGAUGAUGGACUGGCUACUGCCCUUCCUGGCCAUGUCGGGUGUGGGGCCCUGGGUACCUCCAGCGCUCUGCCUGGGAAAGAAAAGAGCCCAUUUCCAUGGGACGUGCCCUCAUGGGGAGGCACAGCAGACCACCCAAGGCAGUACAUGCAGUGUCCCCGAAGUAAGGAGGGGGUCCUGUGUCCAGAGGCCCAGGGGAUCUGGACUCUGCCAUUGUCCCCUGGUGCAGCUGUACAGCUGUGGUGGGCUACCACCGUCUCUGGGCUCCAAUUUGCCCUUCUGUAAAAUGGGGAGUUCGGACAAAGUCAUUCUGAAGGUCUUUUCCAGCUUUAAUGACACGUGUUUUGCAUGUGACCUGGCAGCACAGGGUUCAGAGGAGGGAGAGAUCAGAGUGACUAGUGCGGGCUUCCUGGGAAAUCAUUUGAGCUCUGAAAGUGGGGAGGAGGAAUGUCAGAGAGUGGGCAAAAUACAACAGGAAAGGGAAAUUCGCCCUCUGAGGGCCAGCAGGCACGGGGGAGCAGCCUGCGAUCCUCCUGGGGCCUGUUCCCUGCGGGGACUGGAAGGGAGACUUUGAGUCUAGGGCCUGGGGCAGCAAGGAUUGACGGGGGUGCAGUCCUAGAAGGGUCGCCAGUCAUAGUGGCCCACCGUGGCAUCUCUGUAUCCCUGUUGCAUGCUGCGCCCACUCCAGCUGCCAGAACACGGAGGCAGAGAUGUGGGAGCCAAUGAAGGUCACUCGUCAGCCUCCCACCUGUGAGACAAAGGGCUCUGUCACUGGAAGCCACGUCUGGCCUGGCCCUGCAGGAGCCAGGGCUCUGCGCCUAAGCCUAACGCCUAACGGAGGACUGAUGGGAAGGGGAAGGCUGGCAGCAGUGAGUUUUGAUGGGAGACACCAGCCACCUACUACUAUGCGGCCAUGCAUCACAUAACAACGUUUCAGGCAACAAUGACGGCACAUACCACAGUGGUCCCAUAAAAUUACAAUGGAGCUGAAAACUUCCUAUUGCCUAGUGACGUCGCAGCCAUUGUAAGGUUGGAGUACAUCACUCAUGUGUUUGUAGCAAUGCUGCUGUAAACAAACCUACCGCACCGCCAGUCAUAUAAAAGUACAGCCCAUACAAUUAUGUGUAGUACUUCAUACUUGAUAAUAAUAAUAAACAACUAUGUUGCUGGUUUACAUA